rnacentral:rRNA from 1 species
AUUGAACGCUGGCGGCAUGCUCUACACAUGCAAGUCGAACGGUAACAGGCCGCAAGGUGCUGACGAGUGGCGCACGGGUGAGUAAUGCAUCGGAACGUGCCCAGUCGUGGGGGAUAACUACUCGAAAGAGUAGCUAAUACCGCAUACGAUCUAUGGAUGAAAGCGGGGGACCGUAAGGCCUCGCGCGAUUGGAGCGGCCGAUGUCAGAUUAGGUAGUUGGUGGGGUAAAGGCUCACCAAGCCAACGAUCUGUAGCUGGUCUGAGAGGACGACCAGCCACACUGGGACUGAGACACGGCCCAGACUCCCACGGGAGGCAGCAGUGGGGAAUUUUGGACAAUGGGCGCAAGCCUGAUCCAGCAAUGCCGCGUGCAGGAAGAAGGCCUUCGGGUUGUAAACUGCUUUUGUACGGAACGAAACGGCUCUGGUUAAUACCCGGGGCUAAUGACGGUACCGGAAGAAUAAGCACCGGCUAACUACGUG